rnacentral:rRNA from 1 species
GGGGGCUACACAUGCAGUCGAACGGUAACAGGAAGCAGCUUGCUGCUUCGCUGACGAGUGGCGGACGGGUGAGUAAUGUCUGGGAAACUGCCUGAUGGAGGGGGAUAACUACUGGAAACGGUAGCUAAUACCGCAUAACGUCGCAAGACCAAAGAGGGGGACCUUCGGGCCUCUUGCCAUCGGAUGUGCCCAGAUGGGAUUAGCUAGUAGGUGGGGUAACGGCUCACCUAGGCGACGAUCCCUAGCUGGUCUGAGAGGAUGACCAGCCACACUGGAACUGAGACACGGUCCAGACUCCUACGGGAGGCAGCAGUGGGGAAUAUUGCACAAUGGGCGCAAGCCUGAUGCAGCCAUGCCGCGUGUAUGAAGAAGGCCUUCGGGUUGUAAAGUACUUUCAGCGGGGAGGAAGGCGAUAAGGUUAAUAACCUUGUCGAUUGACGUUACCCGCAGAAGAAGCACCGGCUAACUCCGUGCCAGCAGCCGCGGUAAUACGGAGGGUGCAAGCGUUAAUCGGAAUUACUGGGCGUAAAGCGCACGCAGGCGGUCUGUCAAGUCGGAUGUGAAAUCCCCGGGCUCAACCUGGGAACUGCAUUCGAAACUGGCAGGCUAGAGUCUUGUAGAGGGGGGUGGAAUUCCAGGUGUAGCGGUGAAAUGCGUAGAGAUCUGGAGGAAUACCGGUGGCGAAGGCGGCCCCCUGGACAAAGACUGACGCUCAGGUGCGAAAGCGUGGGGAGCAGACAGGAUUAGAUACCCUGGUAGUUCCACGCCGUAAACGAUGUCGACUUGGAGGUUGUGCCCUUGAGGCGUGGCUUCCGAGCUUACGCGUUAAGUCGACCGCCUGGGGAGUACGGCCGCCAAGGUUUAAAACUCAAAUG